ACAUGCGUACAACUUAGCGUUAAUACAUCGGAUCCCAUUAAAACUUUGCAGUUAAGAACGUUUGGGCUAGAGUAGUACUGGGAUGGGUGAUCACCCGGGAAGUUUUAGUAUUUUACAUGCC
rnacentral:rRNA from 1 species